GGAAGUUCAUUUUAGCAGUUGGCUCCAUUGAAGCAGAGUCCCUUACUUGUUUGAAGCUGUUGCUGUUUAUAGCUGGUCCCUGAGCUUCUGAAAAUUCUCCUGACUUUGCUUCUCGUCUAAGUCUGGGAUUGCAGGUGCUGCUGUUACCACACGGGCUCUGGGGAUUCGAACUCAGGUCUUCACACUUCCAUGAAACACUCUCACACAAAUCUGCAAAAUGUCUGAUCAGAUGUCGGAUGUGUCUCAGGUCAUCAUGUUGACAUACGCUUGCUUGUCCAGUGCUGAAUAUUGGGAUUAUUAUAAAGAUGGAGAUUUGGGUCUCUGCUUUCCACUGGUUUUUGUCUGCGUCCAGAAGUAGUACUGUCACGCUGUGUGGCAUCUUUUUUCAGAGAGGUCAGGAUGUGAUGCAGCUCUUCUGUAGCUCCGGACCGUCUCAAACUCGACGUUUAAGAGAGGAUGACCUUGAACUUCUGACCCUGUGAGUGCUGGGUUUACUGGUAGGCACAUCAUGGAGUUAGGGAUCAAACGGGGCUUCUUGCAUGCCGAGCAAGCACUCUACAGAGCUGCCACCCCAGCCCUGACUUUUCUGUAACUACACUGUAUCCGUUUUUUUCUUAAGCUAUGUCUCAGUUUUUCAAAGCGACACAUGCAAGGAUCAAUGAUGACUGUGUGCCAUUAAUCAGAAGUCAUAAUUCAUUCUGUCGCCGUGAAGUCCACCCCCGCAAAACAGUAAACUGCCUUUUCUAAUCUUCGCCAAGUGAGAAACUGAAAUGAGUGGGAGGGGCGGUAACUAUUUUCACUUUUGUCUUCCUGUUUUUUUCAGAGCCUGGGAAAGCAAGUCAGAAUUUCCAGUCUUUUCCAAUUCCCACAUGAUUUCCUAAUUUAGAAUGAAUUCAGAGAAAAUAAGUCUUUCUCCAUGUGCUGAAGCCUUCUCAUUCUGGCACCAGGGAAGCAACCUGAGGUGCAGAGUACUCCAGCCCGGGUCCCCACACUCACCCAGCAAACCUAGGUGGCAAUUUUCGCACCCUGCAAUGCCUUCAUCAUGGACCCAAGUGGGAGGCCUUCCGGGAGAUGCGCAAGAAAGGUGUGACCCUGGCUAGUUCUGGAGAUCCCUAAGGGUCCAAACCUUAACCACAGCACCUAUCUGCAGAGACAAGCCCUGCGGUUUGACCCCGCGCGUCUUCCAGCAGUCACUGCCCUCCGGGACUUUUAAAUCAACUGUUUAGAGAGGCACAGGUGUCCGGCCCUCAGUGUGACUCCCACCCCACGGCCUCAGUCCCUCCUUGGAGAAGCAGGCUCUGCGGAGCACGGGCUCCCCGGUUCCUGCGCGCAGAUGGAUCUAGGUUGGGGAGCAUAUGGCCUACAACGCGCCGCAGUCCCCAGGAGGACUGGCACGGUUAGGAAAGCGUGUGGAAUUCAGUC